AGCCUCCUGGUGCUUACCACAGGCUGUGUUCUUACACUGACUAUACAGAAAGAGAAGGCAGAGUAAAUCCACCCAUCUACUCCAAAGUGUAGAUUUGCCUGGUCUGUAUUGUGCCUGGGAGAACAUGG
ensembl:snoRNA